UUUGUAUAUUAUUGUAUAAAAACAAUAGGAAAAAAUCGAAGAAAGUAACUUUUGUUUUGAAGUCAAUGGAUGAAGGGUCAAAAAAAUGUCGGAUGCAAUGGAAGAUGAUUAUGCGACAUGCAAUGGAAGAUGAUUACGCGGCAGUUAAACAAAGAGAUCGAUAACGGGAAAAAUUCAAAGAAGGUAACUUACGUUUUGAAAUCAAGGGAUGAAGGGUCAAAAUAUGGCCGGAUGCAAUGGAAGAUGAUUACGCAACAGUUAAACAAAGAGGUGCACAAGAAGAAGAA